rnacentral:rRNA from 1 species
GACGAACGCUGGCGGCGUGCUUAACACAUGCAAGUCGAACGGAAAGGCCCUGCUUUUGUGGGGUGCUCGAGGGGCGAACGGGUGAGUAACACGUGAGUAACCUGCCCUUGACUUUGGGAUAACUUCAGGAAACUGGGGCUAAUACCGGAUAGGAGCUCCUGCUGCAUGGUGGGGGUUGGAAAGUUUCGGCGGUUGGGGAUGGACUCGCGGCGUAUCAGCUUGUUGGUGGGGUAGUGGCUUACCAAGGCUUUGACGGGUAGCCGGCCUGAGAGGGUGACCGGCCACAUUGGGACUGAGAUAAGGCACAGACUCGAACGGGAGGCAGCAGUGGGGAAUAGUGCACAAUGGGCGGAAGCCUGAUGCAGCAACGCCGCGUGCGGGAUGACGGCCUGCGGGUAGGAAACCGCUUUCGCCUGUGACGAAGCGUGAGUGACGGUAAUGGGUAAAGAAGCACCGGCUAACUACGUG